rnacentral:lncRNA from 1 species
CAGGUUGAAGUAUUGUAUUUUGCAAAAAGUGCUGAAAUAACAGGAGUUCGUUCAGAGACCAUUUCUGUGCCUCAAGAAAUAAAAGCGUUGCAGCUGUGGAAGGAGAUAGAAACUCGACAUCCUGGAUUGGCUGAUGUUAGAAAUCAGAUAAUAUUUGCUGUUCGUCAAGAAUAUGUCGAGCUUGGAGAUCAGCUCCUCGUGCUUCAGCCUGGAGACGAAAUUGCCGUUAUCCCCCCCAUUAGUGGAGGAUAGUGCUUUUGAGCCAUCUAGGAAAGAUAUGGAUGAAGUUGAAGAGAAAUCUAAAGAUGUUAUAAACUUUACUGCCGAGAAACUUUCAGUAGAUGAAGUCUCACAGUUGGUGAUUUCUCCGCUCUGUGGUGCAAUAUCCCUAUUUGUAGGGACUACAAGAAAUAACUUUGAAGGGAAAAAAGUCAUUAGCUUAGAAUAUGAAGCAUAUCUACCCAUGGCGGAAAAUGAAGUCAGAAAGAUUUGUAGUGACAUUAGGCAGAAAUGGCCAGUCAAACACAUAGCAGUGUUCCAUAGACUUGGCUUGGUUCCAGUGUCAGAAGCAAGCAUAAUCAUUGCUGUGUCCUCAGCCCACAGAGCUGCAUCUCUUGAAGCUGUGAGCUAUGCCAUUGAUACUUUAAAAGCCAAGGUGCCCAUAUGGAAAAAGGAAAUAUACGAAGAGUCAUCAACUUGGAAAGGAAACAAAGAGUGCUUUUGGGCAUCCAACAGUUAAUCACUUAUGUUUUUAGAGCAUGCAAUCUUAACUUUGUUAAACUAUUAUUAUUGAUCACAUUUUGAUUUUUUUCUCUCCACAUCAGGAUAGUUUACUGAAGCACAAUCUCUUAUACUAGUGGGAC